GUGUGGUGCUCCGUAAAAAGAGGUAAAAGGGAACGCAGUGCAAAUCUGCGGCAGCUCCCACUACUGUGAAUGGGGAUGAACUCUGCAGCCAAAUGCAAGGCCUGUACCUUGCUGUGGAAACUCAUUGAAGAUACCGAAAGUGAAGCUUUUUGUAUCAUCGAGAAGAGGCAGAAAGUAAAUUGAUCCAUGAGUCAGGAAACCUGCCAUGCGAGUAU
rnacentral:ncRNA from 1 species